rnacentral:pre_miRNA from 1 species
UGACGUUUGGUUUGUAGGCAGUGUAGUUAGCUGAUUGUGAUCUCCCAAAACAAUCACUAGCUUCACUGUCAACAAAACAAUCUGCAG